AUUGCCUGCCCAGUGACUGAAGUUAAACGGCCGCGGUAUCCUGACCGUGCAAAGGUAGCAUAAUCACUUGUUCCUUAAUUAGGGACUUGUAUGAACGGCUAAACGAGGGUCCAACUGUCUCUUAUUUUUAAUCAGUGAAAUUGACCUUCCAGUGAAGAGGCUGGAAUUUCUUAAUAAGACGAGAAGACCCUAUGGAGCUUAAAUUUAAACUUAUUUAUUAACCUCAUAUCCCUAAUGGAAUAAAAACAAUACUAUAAGCCUAAAAUUUUGGUUGGGGUGACCUCGGAGAACAGAAAAUCCUCCGAACGAUUAUAACAUAGACUAACAAGUCAAAGUAAUCUACUUUCUAAUUGACCCAAACAAUUUGAUCAACGGACCAAGUUACCCUAGGGAUAACAGCGCAAUCCUAUUUAAGAGUCCAUAUCGACAAUAGGGUUUACGACCUCGAUGUUGGAUCAGGACAUCCCAAUGGUGCAGAAGCUAUUAAUGGUUCGUUUGUUCAACG
rnacentral:rRNA from 1 species